rnacentral:rRNA from 1 species
GACGAACGCUGGCGGCGUGCUUAACACAUGCAAGUCGAACGGAAAGGCCCUGCUUUUGUGGUGUGCUCGAGUUGCUAACGUGUGAGUCACACGUGUGUAACCUGCCCUUGCCUUUGGGAACACUUCUGUAAACUGGGGCUACUACCUGUUAUUACCUCCUGCUGCAUGGUGUGGUUUGUAAAGUUUCGGCGGUUGGUGUUGGACUCGCGGCUUAUCUGCCUGUUGGUGGGGUAGUGGCUUACCAAGGCUUUGACGGGUAGCCGGCCUGAGAGGGUGACCGGCCACAUUGGGAAUGAGAUAAGGCCAAGACUCAUACGGGAGGAAGCAGUGGGGAAUAUUGCACAAUGGGCGGAAGCCUGAUGCAGCAACGCCGCGUGCGGGAUUACGGACUUCGGGUUGUAAACAGCUAUCGCCUGUGACGAAGCGUGAGUGACGGUAAUGGGUAAAGAAGCACCGGCUAACUACGUG